AUCUUAUCAAGAGUGGUGGAGGGACUGGCCCUAUGAAGCCCGGCAACCGGCCAAUCAUUCUGGCGGCGGUGCCAACUCCUGCAGGACUGCGCGGUCCUGAGAGAUGAGUC
rnacentral:ncRNA from 2 species